rnacentral:rRNA from 1 species
CCUACGGGAGGCAGCAGUGGGGAAUAUUGCACAAUGGGGGAAACCCUGAUGCAGCGACGCCGCGUGAGUGAAGAAGUAUUUCGGUAUGUAAAGCUCUAUCAGCAGGGAAGAAGAAAGACGGUACCUGACCAAGAAGCCCCGGCUAACUACGUGCCAGCAGCCGCGGUAAGACGGGGGUGGCAAGCGUUAUCCGGAUUUACUGGGUGGAAAGGGAGCGUAGACGGCUGUGCAAGUCUGGAGUGAAAGCCCAGGGCGCAACCCUGGGACUGCUUUGGAAACGGUGGGGCUAGAGUGCUGGAGAGGUAAGUGGAAUUCCUGGUGUAGCGGUGAAAUGCGUAGAUAUUAGGAGGAACACCAGUGGCGAAGGCGGCUUACUGGACAGUAACUGACGUUGAGGCUCGAAAGCGUGGGGAGCAAACAGGAUUAGAUACCCCGGUAGUC